rnacentral:rRNA from 1 species
GACGAACGCUGGCGGCGUGCCUAAUACAUGCAAGUUGAGCGCUGAAGGUUGGUACUUGUACCGACUGGAUGAGCAGCGAACGGGUGAGUAACGCGUGGGGAAUCUGCCUUUGAGCGGGGGACAACAUUUGGAAACGAAUGCUAAUACCGCAUAAAAACUUUAAACACAAGUUUUAAGUUUGAAAGAUGCAAUUGCAUCACUCAAAGAUGAUCUCGCGUUGUAUUAGCUAGUUGGUGAGGUAAAGGCUCACCAAGGCGAUGAUACAUAGCCGACCUGAGAGGGUGAUCGGCCACAUUGGGACUGAGACACGGCCCAAACUCCUACGGGAGGGAGCAGUAGGGGAUCUUCGGCAAUGGACGAAAGUCUGACCGAGCAACGCCGCGUGAGUGAAGGAGGUUUUCGGAUCGUAAAACUCUGUUGGCAGAGAAGAACGUUGGUGAGAGUGGAAAGCUCAUCAAGUGACGGUAACUACCCAGAAAGGGACGGCUAACUACGUG